GAUGAAGAACGUAGCGAAAUGCGAUAAGUAAUGUGAAUUGCAGAAUUCAGUGAAUCAUCGAAUCUUUGAACGCACCUUGCACCCUUUGGUAUUCCAAAGGGUAUGCUCGUUUGAGUGUCAUUGUACUCUCACACUUCUAAUUCCUUUCGGGAUUGGGAGCGGUGGACUUGGGUGUUGCUGCUUUAGUUGUGGCUCACCUCAAAUAAGUUAGUGCAACUCUUGGUUGGACAUAGUACGGCGUGAUAAGUGUCUUCGCCGGCGCCUCUGUAAGGAGGGUGGCCGAUCGGGAGCUCUGUGCUUCAAACCGUCUUCGGACAAUCUUUGACACCUUGACCUCAAAUCGAGUAGGACUACCCGCUGAACUUAAGCAUAUCAAUAAGCGGAGGA
rnacentral:misc_RNA from 1 species